GUAAUUAGUGGCAUGGCGGAACGCAGUUUGCGAACCGUUGCCAUUGCAACCAGAGAAAUUAAAUCGACAGAUAUUCCUGAGGGAGAGAAUUCAAGACAAUGGGCUUUACUUGAAAAUGAGCUGGCUACUGUUGCUUGUUGUUGUGGGUAUAAAGAAUCGUUGUCGCCCUGAGGUCAAAGAUGCAGUGCAAUCAUGAAUAAAGGCGGGUGUUAAGGUACACAUGGUCACUGGAGACCAUUUUUUGACUGCAAAAGCAAUCGCGUUAGAGUGUGGAAUUAUUUCUGAUAAAGAUACUACUGAGCCUAAUAUCAUUGAAGGAAAAACAUUCCAUGAAUUAUCUGAAAAAGAAAGAGAAGAAUGUGCAAAUAAUAUAAAGGUAAUGUGGAGAUCUUACCCGAAUGACAAGUUAUUGCUUGUGCAAGCAUUACGGAAGGGGGCAUAUGUUGUUGCAGUAACAGGAGAUGACACUAAUGAUGCUCCUGCCCUUCAUGAGGUAUAU